UGGACCACGCUGGAAUCCACCUUCAGACGAGACUUGUACAAGGACUAAGAGGCUAGCGAGGCCAACGCUCCGUCAAGAUUCAAGAACGUUUCGCGAGGAACAACUCUACGCACGAUAUGUGAAGAAGUUUGGCCGAGACCUCAACCCGAAGGCGGAGAUCCGAGAAUCGUCUGAGAACGGGACCUAAUUUAAGAAAAUCGAUAUUUUUGGACACCUCACGGGCAAAGAAACCUAACAAAAAGGCAUGCGUUAACCAGGAGCGCGAGACAUCGGUCAAGGGCGAGCGUGAUGGAGACGGGGAUUGUCAUAGAGGAAUGGGUUGUCCCGGGGCGUCAAUCCAAUCUUUAUUUUGUAUUUACAUUCUUUCGAAAUUUAUUUUCAAACUAUCAAGUGUUCUGUUUGUUUGUCGUUCAAAACUUUAUUGGAAUUUUAAGGAUUUUUUUUUUCUA